UUAAGGCAGCCCGCGUCGAGGGCGACCCUUGCCGGAGGUAACAAAAUUAACGUACGUCAGAGCCAGAUUUUAACCCCGGUGUGGUACUUGCCGAGCCUGCGGGCUGCGGUCACGGGGGACUCGAUGCGGUUGCUUAAUAAUUGUGCGAUUUUCGGCCUCUCCCCGCGUCAGUCUCCUGGUUUGUGAAAUGGACUUGAUUCGUAUUUCACGUAGCUGACCAAAGGAUGUAUGAAGCGUUCAGCCCAACGUCUGCCAAAUGGUAGGGAUUCCCAAAGCGAUGGCUGUGUUGUUCUUUGUGUCAGUACUGCUCACAUGAUACUCUUUUGUGUUCUGUGUUCCCUUCUACACCGAGUGCCCUGAGAAUGAGGACUUUGUUCCAUUGCUCCAGGGAGUGCAAGUCGACAUUGGUAUAACGAUGGAACGAUUAGGCCUUGGAACCAGUUAGACCUCAGUUGGAAUCCACACCAUUCCUUUGAUUUGCUGCGUGACCUUGUGCAGGUGGUUUUCCGUGGCCGCCUUGUCCAUAAACACAAUAAUUUGGAUAAAGCUGUGGGGCGGCGAGGUAGGCCUUCCAAUCGGAGUUAAGUCCAAUUACACUAAUUAGGCCGUGGACAAAGGCCAUUUAAUUGUAAACACAACAUGGUGUGCGUUUGGGAAGGAUUAUAAAAUUAUAAAAUCUUUGGUCGUGUGUCAAAUAUACUAAUUAACCUGUUGGCAUAGCUGGAGUCAGGCAGACAGAAAAUAUUAGAUUGAGUGCUCAUAAACGUAGCAAAAUUACUGGAAUGAACUCAAGUCAUGCAUCCACUUUUCCUUGUAGCAAUAUUAUGUAAAGAGCGGCAUGUUAUUACAUAAAGCCCAUAAUUACUAUAACAUCUUCAAGGUAGGUUAUAUCCUCUGAUAAAUGUUGCUAAUCUUUAUGGAACAACAUUCAGAAGAGGGUUUUAAAGUACCAGGGACACACUAAUAAUUUUCUCCUUUCCUUCUCAGAUAAUGCUCUUGAAAACAUAUGGAUUUUGGUGCUUCAGCUUCUUCUCUGUUCCUCAGUUUCCCUUGCUGAGAUCAUCAGUGACCUGCUACUUUCUAAAUCUCGUAUUUUCUCAUCUGUAGCCAACCUGUUAGCUGCAUUAGUUCUAUCUGCAACCUUAAUUCCUUUUUGCUGUGUAGGAAAAUAUAUGCACAAUUUCCAGUGAUUAGAAUGUGGAUAUCUUUGGGAGUGGUGGGGGAUCAUCCUUCUUACCACAAGAAUAUUUUUAUUGUUUUGGGGAAGUCCUAUCUAAGUGUGACAGGAAAAAAGGUAGAAAUAUCUCACAAAUAAGGAUCAACAUUAUCAUCAUAAUCUUCCAUUAAAAAAAUAAGACAUCUUAAAUAUGUUUGAAAAGCAAACGAUAAGCUUUUACAUAUACAUCAUCAUAUACAUCAUCUCACUAAAAUAGUUAAGGAGUACCUGGGUGGCUCAGUCGGUUGAGCGUCUGACUUCGGCUCAGGUCAUGAACUAGCAGUUAAUGGGUUCNNNNNNNNNNNNNNNNNNNNNNNNNNNNNNNNNNNNNNNNNNNNNNNNNNNNNNNNNNNNNNNNNNNNNNNNNNNNNNNNNNNNNNNNNNNNNNNNNNNNNNCUCUCUCUCUCUCUGCCCCUCCCCUGCUCGCGCUCUCUCUCUCUCUCAAAAAUAAAUAAACAUUUAAAAAAACCUUUUUAAGUUGUUAAAUAAUGAGAUAAAACUUAUCCACAAGGUACCACUGGACACUUAAAUUCUUUUCAAACUUAAUGAAAUAUGAGUCAGUGAGAAUUUAAAUAGUAUUUUCUAUGUGUUGGAUUGUCAAAGAUUAAAACAUUUGAUAAUGUAUAAUUAGUGAAAUGAUUAGUGAAGAUGUCUACAAAUAUGCGCAUUCACUGUUGGUAUUAAUAAAUUUGAGAUGAAUUUGAUACAUUUAUCAAAAUUUAAAAUGGGUAUGCCUUUUGACCUCACAUUUCCGCCUCUGCAAAGUUAAUAUUUAUCAGAUGUUCUUUACAGUGUUAUUUGUAAUUUUGAAGAAACGAAAAAAGGAGGUAGUUUAUCUGAAAGAAAGCUUUGGCCUUUGUUUAUUUAUAUCUAUGUGUUAGGAUGAUAUCACUUUAAAAAUAUAUGGGGAGAGGACUUCUAGUUCUGACCAAGACGGAGCGUGAGUGCCCCCUGGUACUCCCUCUGAACAACUAAAAUCCCCGGACAUAAUAUAGCAGACAAUUAUAGAAGGACUUUAAACGGGAAAAGAAGAUGCCAGACUGCCUAGGAACCUCCUAAAACUCAGUUAAGCAAUGAGAUGAAGUGGUCUCCUGGCUUUGGGAUAACGGAUAUUUCCCUCAUUUCUUAUUGCUGACAGAUCUUUUGGCAAAUAGCGAAGUGUAUUAAAAAAAAAAAGUCCUUGGGGUGCCUGGGUGGCUCAGUCGGUUGAGUGUCUUACUCUUGAUUUUGGCUCAGGCCAUGAUCUCAGGGUCAAGCCCCAUGUCGGGCCUCCCUAAGCAUGGAGCCUACGACUCCAUGAGAUUCAUAUUCUCUCUCUCUUUGUCUCUCAGCAACAACAACAAAAAGGAGUUCUUUAUGGCGAAGUCAGACCAUCCUAGGCCUCUUGAGAGUUACUCCUUCCUUUUUGGAAUGAAUGCCCUGUGGGCAGGAUGGCUGAAAACCAGAGGAUAGUCCCUGCAGAGUCCUGUGCUUCUGAAGAAACACUCUUAUUAUGAAAGCUGUAUCGAAGCAGGUGAGAAAUAUAAUAAUUUUUAUUAACAAGUCUAAUCUACUUGAAAGGCACUGGCAUAGAGGUUGUUGGGACCCUUGGCUCACAUAGCAGUUUCUGAAGAAAUCCUUUUAUUAUUAUUUAUUUUUAUUUUUAUUUUUUGAAGAAAUCCUUUUGAAAAGCAGUGGAAUUUAAAUUGCUCAGACCAUGGUAAGGGGUAUGGGGACUUUGGAAAAGAAGAAUAUGUGAAACAGAUCAUGGUCUCUCAAACAGGGCAUUACAGGGCAAGGAAGAGGAGGGCUGGGGUGGUCACAGUGGAAUCUAUCUUUCUGGGCCCUUUUAUUCAUUUGUAUCAUCUGCUCAGUCUUUGGAAAUGGUAUAAUUCACUUUGGGAUCAGUAAACCUCUACUUUCCAGUUCUACAGGAUUUCUAGCUCAGUGUUUGAAAAGAGAUCGAAUUCCUUGUCAAUUCCUUGACAAAGCCAGGUUUCUCCAAAACGUCAUGCCCUUGUCUUGCCCUCCCUUCCUCAGCUUUCCCCACUCUCUAUUUCCAUCCAUUUCCCUGCGGGUCUUCCUGUUUAGCAGCAGCAACACUGUAAUACCAGUGCCCAGAAUCCAGUGUUGGUGAGUGAGAUCUGUGAUACAGUCUGCAGUGCCUGGGCCUGUCAGCAGCAACGCCCAUAUCUGCCCUGGACCAUCUGUGGAGCCAGGUUUGUUCUGGCCUCAGAGUGACUGUGGUUGGCUCUCUGACCUUCCCAGAUUGUGCGAGCAGCUUAGAUCACUAAGAAUCUGUUUCACACUUGAAAGCAGUAACCUAGACUGAUAUAAACGUUUAUAAAGCAUCUGCUAGCUGACAGGAUCUGGUGCUGCAGAAAUGACCAAGGAAUUUACAGUGGAGUGGGGGAAAACCGACAACUAAAGAAAUAACUACAGGGCUUCCACAGUCAAUAGUGAUAGACCAGGUAAUUCAGAUCAAACUCUGAGAAAACCAGAAAAUCUAGGUCGAUUUUACAAUAGAAAAUCUACUUGAGGCAUAAAAGAUAUAAUAAGAUAAAGGAUUACCGCAGGCUGUGAAUGGAGAGAAGAAAGGGAUCCAGAGAGCUGAGUAUGGAAUUUGGUGUUGUUUUUCCCCUGGGAGUAUUUCUGCCAUAGGCUGAAUGUUCGUAUCUCCCCCCAAAUUCACAUUGAAACCUAAUCCUCAUGUGAUCAUGGUCUUUGGAGGUGGGGCCUUUGGGAGGUGGUUAGGUCAUGAGGGUGGAGCCCUCAUGAAUAGGAUCAGUGCCCUUAUAAAAGCCCCACAGGGCGCCUGGGUGGCUCAGUCGGUUAAGCGUCCGACUUUGGCUCAGGUCAUGAUCUCACAGUUGGUGGGUUCGAGCCCUGGGUUGGGUUCUAUAUGGACAGUUCAGAGCCCGGAGCCUGCUUCAGAUUCUGUGUGUGUGUCUCUCUCUUUCUGUCUCUCUCUGCCCCUCUCCCGCUCAUACUCUGACUCUCUCUCUCUCAUAAAUUACAAAUAUACGUUCAAAAAAUAAAAAUAAAUAAAAAAUUUAAAAAACAUUAUCUCAGGGUGCCUGGGUGGCUCAGUCAGCUAAGCAUCUGACUCUACACUGACAGCACAGAGCCUGCUUGGGAUUCUCUGUCUCCCUCUUUCUCUGCCCCUCGCUCACGCUUUCUCUUUCAAAAAUAAAUAAACUUAAACACACACACACACACACACACACACACAUUAUCUCAGUCCCUGAAUUUGGAUCAAGGUAUUUUGGAUUACUGUUGCCUCUAGCCACUGGCAGGAAAAGAAAAAGUGAAAUUCUUUCUGGAGAAUGUUAACACUGUUAGGUCACAGAUUAAUUCUAAUUUUGGAAAUGUAAUGUUAGGUAAAAUUUGAAAAGAAAUAACUAGGCACACAAAGAGACAAGGUAACAUAUAACGUAAACAAGAACCAGCAGAAACAACAAAUAUUAGGUUCAUAAGGACUCUAGCUGUUGGAGUUACCAGCCAGAGACUUAGAAAACUGUGUUAAUAGAUUUAAGAUGAUAAAAGUCAAGAUUUUUAAUUUUGGCAGAGAACUGGAACUAUCAAAGACAUAGUAGAUUUGAAAAAGAGCCAAAAGAUACUGUAAUAUGAAAAAAUAAUAACAAAUACUUAAAACUUAGUGGGUAAAAUAAUGAGAAACAAAGCACAACUGAACAGAGAAUUACCGAACUGAAAGAAAGUUCUGAAAAAAAUAUCCUGAAUAAAACAUGGAGACCCAAAAUGAUGAAAAAUAGUGAUGAGAAGGUAAAAUACAAAGAGGAUGCCACGAGAAUGUCUAAUCUACAUAUAACUGUUAAAGGCGAGUGGAAGGAGUGGAAGAAUGAAUCUUGCAGACAACAGAGAGUGAACAAAGAGAUAGAGUUUAUCGAGGGAAAGUAUAAAGCUCUCGAGAGUGAGAGAGGUCCUGACUGGGUAGCCGUCAAGGAUUUUUGUCCCUGACCUUAUCAGAGAGUUUGUGAGGCUCCACUCAUGGCGCCUAGCCCAGGCAGGUCUGGAAUAUGCCGCUUCUUCAGCCUCUUACUUGCACCUGCAGUCUGCCUCCCUAAGGCUCCCUUAUCUCUCCUCGCCUAAUGUUAACCCUUUCCCUAUUCAUAACCGAAGUUCUGGAAAGCAAGUCCAAAAUGAAUGGGGCAGAAGCUACGUUUGAAAAAACUAAUGGUUAAGAAUUUGCCAAAUCUCAUGAAAGAUAUCAAGCUGCAAAUUCAAGAAUUGUUACAAACUACGUACAGAAUAGUAAUAGCAGUAAUAGUCAUAAGUGCAUAUCACAAACAAUUUGCUGAAAACCAAUGAUAAGGAAAAUAACUAUAAAAACAGUGAAGGAAUAUCUUUAGGUUGUCUAGCUACCAAUAGUACUAAAAAUGUAGGGGAGAAUUUUUCUUCUGAUGCCAGAUUAUAAGAAAACCUACAACAAAUGUCAGGCUUAAUGGUGAAAUGUUACAGUCAUUCCCUUUGAGAUUAGAUCAAGGAUUCCCACACUAUCCCUACCACUUAUAUUCAACAAUGUACUGGAAGUCCUAGCCAAUCCAGUAAAGCAAGAAAAUGAAAAUAAAUGUUAAAAGAUCGGAAAGAAAAUUUUAAAUGGCAUUAUUUGAAUGUGAUUGUGUGAAAAAAUCCAAAAAGCUCCACAAAUGAGUUUUUAGAAUUAAUGAGUUUAACAAGUUUGCAUUUCAAGAUCAAAAGACAAAAAUCAAUUGUAUUUCUAUAUACCAGGGUAAAAAAAUGAAAGUUAGUUUUAGAAACAAUACCAUAUAUAUUAGCAUAAAAAUACCCAGUAUUUUGCAUCAAAUAAAAGGCAUUCAAGAACUAAAAUAGAAAAUAUUAUUGAGGCUAAAAAGUGACCUAAAAUAAAUGUAUGAUGUACCUAUCAUUUCAUGGAUUAUAGGAUUCGAAAUCAUACAGAUAUCUCAAUCCAGCAUGAUCUAUAAAUUCAGUGUACACUGGUGACAUUCCCAGCAACUAUUUUGUGAAAUUUGAGAAGAUGAUUCUUAAGUUUAUGAUGGAGAUUCAAAGGGCUGAGAUUUGCCUAAGACGGUAAUUAAGGUAUAUGUGCAAGGAUAGACAAAUAGCCAAGGUCAAAAAAUAAUGCAGAUUACAGGGAGAAGACCCAUACAUAUCAAUACCUGAUUUAUGAAAACAAUUAAAAACAUAGAGCACAAGGUAAAGGAAGAACUUCUAGGUAUAUAGUGCUAGGACAAAGAAAUGUGCACGUGCCAAAAAAAAAAAAAAAAAGAUUCCUAUCCUAUUACCACAUAAAAUCAGUAUUUCAUUAGCUAUACAUCUCCAUGUAAGGGAUUAUUAAAAUUUUAGGUAAUAUUAGGUAAUAUAUUAGUUAAGAGCAGAAAAAUAAUGUUUUAAUUGUAUUUAUUUUUGAGAGAGAGUCAGCGCAUAUGCGAGGUGGGGAGAGGCAGAGAGAGAGAGAGAAUCCCAAGCAAGCUUUGCACUGUCAGCACAGAGCCCUACAUGGGGCUUGAACCCACAAACCGUGAGAUCGAGACCUGACCUGAAAUCAAGAGUCCGAUGCUUAACUGGCUGAAACACCUAGGUGCCCCUAGAAAAAUAAUUAUUAAAUAGGAUAUAAAACAGUUUACUAUAAAGGAAAAUAUUGAUAAAUUGGGUAAUACCAAAAUGAAGAACUUAGGUUCAUCAAAAGAUAACUUUAAGAAAGAGAAAAGACAAGCUUUAAACUGGGAGAAGAUAUUUGCUACACAUAAAGUCAAUAAAGGGCUUGUGUCCAUAAUAUAAAAUGGACUUAUGAAUUAUGAAUCAAAAGUAGAAGGACAAAGCUUUCACGAAGGAGGAUAUCCAAAUUGCCAAUACAAAUGUGAAAAGGGCUCAGCCUCAUUAAUCAGAGACAGAAAUGCAAAUUAAAACCACAAUGAGGUACCACUACACAUGUAGCAGAAUCGCUUUUAUUUUUUUAAAAGAGGAAAAUGGUAGGAAUUGGCAAGGAUGUGGAAUAACUAAAAAUCUCACACACUGCUGAUGGGGUAUAAAUUGGCACAAUCAAUUUGGAAACAGAAACAUGUGCCUGUGCAUCAAGAUACGUGAAUGAGAUUGUUCAUCGCCGCAUACUUCAUAGCAGUAAAAAACUAGCAUCAGCCAAAAACUCUAUUAUCAGUAGAAUGAAAAACACACGAGGAAGGGUGAGGAUGCUAACUGAGGCAUAUAGAGCUGGAGUAGAACAUGAAACUAACCAGAUAGGAUGACAGGUUAGAAGUGGCAUUGACAAAGAGUGUGAAACUUCAGUGAGUGAGGUUCCAAGAUUUCUGAGUUGUGCUGGUCACCAGUAUGGGGGAAAUAGAAGACAGAACAGGUUGAUCUCAUUUUGUUGGUUUAACAAACAUUACUGAGCACCAUUUAUAUCCUAGGCACUCUGCUAGGAUCUGGAAAUAAACUGUGAGUAAGAGUGCACAGUCAGCUGAGUCUUCAUUUGAGCUUUACAAUGGCCUUUUGAAUCCAGACAGUCAUUUACAUCUGACAGAUGGGCUUUUGUGGCUCUGAAAUGUCCUCCUAGUUGAUGGUGAAUCUGAGACUCAACUCAAGCCUUUUUGCCUCAGCGCUUUUUCUUCAGCCAAAUGAGGAGAGGAUGUGGAUGAGAACAGUGUGUGAAGCCUCUGAGGAGCACAUUUCCCCACCCCAGAGGUGCUUGUAACAGCCAGAUACUCAAAGCUCAUGAACAAGUUUAUGUUCACUGUAGGCAAGCCAGGGCAGGGUGACCAGCCAGCUCUCCUGUUUCUCAGGCUUCUGUAGCAACCAUCAACUUCUCUUAUUGCUCCUCCUGGCCUGGUUCAUUUCAUCCAAGUGUUUUCCAUCAAUUAUUUGGAUGGCUAUUGAGUUGUGGGCACUGAGCAAAUUAUCAGAAACACAAACACACACACACACACACCCAGACACAUUAUACGCCUUCAAGGAACUCUCAAAUUCUAAUCUGUGGAUAAAGGCAGAUCUAUAGGCCAGUGAGUGAAAUGGAGGGUUUGGGGGCUUUGAGAGUCAUAAGGGCAUGACAUAGGCAGCACAGAGGAGGAAGUGAUCAGUUCUGGGAAUUUAACCUUGAAAAGGGGUAGUGUUACUUUCAGGACAACUGAGCAGAUACUCAGGAAAGAUAACAGGUCUAACUAAGCCACAGAGCCACUACAGUCUGUUGUGUUAGAGGAAGCUUUCUGAGGUCUUGGUAUUUGCAUGUUUGUAUUAGUAAGCAGCUGAUUAUGUUGCAAUAUAAGGCAAGAUCAAUAUUCUUAAGAAGGUGGAAGUAUGAAGAGGAUAGAAGACAAAUGAGUAUAUGCUUCAAAGGAGGCUUGGUAAAAAAAUCAGAGUAAAACCAAAACUCAUACAGGUUUUAUCCCGAAAUGGCAUCAUACAUAGAACGCAAGGGAAGAAAAUUUUUCAAGAAGACAGUAUCCACCUGUGCCAGAUGCUUGGGACUUUAUGUGAGAAGAGAAUAGAGAACUGAUUAUUGAGUUUGGCCAUGUGAAAGUUGUCAGGGUUUAUGAAAGUCAUUUCCGAGGAGGAAUAAAGAUAAGGGUGAGUUAGAGUGGAUUGAAGAGAGAAUGGGAAGUAAGGAAGUGAAAACAGCUAAUGUGGAAAACUUCUGAGAAGUAUUUUGCAGUUAAGGGAGGUAGAGACUGGAGUGGUAAUUAGAGAGAGAAGACUAAGUUGGUUAAGGUCAUAAACCUUUUUCACAUUGGCAGUGGAAACUCUUGAAGAUUUCAGAAUCAGAAAAUUCACUAAACGUGUAGGGCAAAAGGGGCAGUAAUAACUUGGAGAAGGUGAAGUUGAGAGACCAGUGAGCGGAUGGUCCAGGAAUAAGGGGAUAAGGAUAUGAACCUGGGUGGUGGCCACCAGGAUAGAAAUUAACAAACAGGAAUGAAAGCUGUCUUAGAAAAAUGGUGAUCUUUGCUGAAAGAUUUUCAGCAAAAUACCCAAGUCACUUGCUUGGAGACAGAAGUGUGGACAUGAAAGGAAUCUAAAAGGAAACUAACACCCAAGAAAGGAGUUAAGGCAUAUGUCUUACGUGGAAAGAAAUGAUAUUAAAUGUACGCACAUAUAUUUAUACAUUUAUGCACCGGGAGCAUACAAUGUACUGGAGGACACCGUGGUUAAGGGUCCUGGGUAGAGAUCAUCUGAGAAGUUUGUUCGGUUUGCUUCUUGGUCUUCAACAGCCCCAUGUGGUAAAUGGUAGGACCCUAGGCUUUCCUCAGUCAUGCCCCUCAGGUGUUCCCAAAAGGACAGGGCCAUGGUACACAUUGUCAGAACUGGCCCUCUGUUCUGGGGGACAUCAGUGUAGACUGCUGGGCUCAUGGGGCCUUUGCUCUGCACUUCUGUCCGGUGGUCAUCUUGAGUCUGUCUCCUCUCACCUCCUCUGGACAUCUGUGGUCCUCAGUUGGCCAGCUCUCCCAACAUUCCUGUUGCGGGGGAGCUGGCUUGUUAUGCUCCAACUCUGGUUAGGAUUUGGAUACCUGCUCUCCAUAUUGCUGCCACCCAGAGCCAGUUUUGUCUCUUAGCUGCUGCUACAACCUUGGGCAAAUCACUUAACUUCUCUGUGCUUUUGAUGUCUCACUUAGGAAAUGGUAAAAAUAUUACUGCUUACCUUAUAGGUUUGCCUUGAGCAUUAUUAAAUAAGUUACUAUAGAACUCUUAAAUAUAUUAGUGUAUGUAGAGAGCUUAGGAUAUCACUUGGCCCAUAAGUGUUUUUACAAUAUUAUAAUUGUGCUCACCUGAUACUGUAGAUGAAACCAGACGUUUGGCCCUUCUUUCUUUCUGCCCAACAGAGCCCUACUCAAAAGUUUUAUGGGUGUGUGUGGGUGUGUAGAACGCUGUACUAAAGAUGGGGGAAAUGGAGGGAUUUGCAUUUCAUUUGUGCCCACAGCUUACAAUUUCAGGGUAUACAGUUCUGUUCCUGAAAGCUUCUCAAACAUUUCCUGUUUAAAUUUACUCUCCUCUUGUUCUCUGCCCAUCCCACAUUUUUCAUCGUUAUAAAUGCAGAGAAAUUUAGCUAUCUGUUCCUUCACCUUUAGCUCCACUGACCUGUGUUCUCAGGGUCUUAUCAUUCACUCCCAACCUGUUUAUUAAGAAUUUUCUUAAGCAUGUAUAUUUCCUUCUGUGAGCAUUCAUCAUGCAGUAGAUACAGUUUGUAAUGGUUCUCGUGUAUUCCUUAGUAUUGAAGUACGUUGAAAGCAAUCUGAUGAAUUAUUUUAUCAUUUGAGCCAUCAAUCUGGCCGUAGGUUUUCUGUAAGUCUACAUUUUCACACCUUAGGGUACAAAAGUAAUACAAGAAACUGUGAGCCCUUAAAGAGCAUAGAUUACAUCUUUUUCAUCUUUAUGUCUGCAGCUGUACCCAGUAGGUGUCUCAAAAAUUGACGUACUUAUAAUUCAUUGUCUAUAUCUUUUCAGUAGGAAGGAAAUACUUUGCUUGGGGAGAAGGCUUCAAGCUUGGUACUCGUUUGCAAUUAGUGGGUUAAGAGUUGCAGAAUUUCUUCACUACCAUGGUGGUAAAGCAAAUGAUUCCUUUUGGGCUCAGCUCGGGUACCAGAGAGGCCCAGCUGAUACUUAUAAUACUGCAUAAUCUCAAGAACUUUUAAACAUCAUGAGCAAUUCUCAUUCUUUUCACUCCACAAGACUUGAUAUCUAAGUUUAUGUUAUUAUAGUAAUUCCUCUUGCUACUGAGUUUCUUCUGUGGAAUAGUAAAGAAUUUAAAUUUUCUACAAAGUUUGUUUGACCAUAGUUAUUCCUCUAGUGGGAUAUUCCUGGGAGAAGAAUGGGAGAAGUGGUAUCUAGAAGGGAGAGGUGAUAUUCCUUCCAACACAGAUCUAUUACUUCCAAAAUGGCAAAUAUCCCUUUUGUUUCCUUUAUUACAGUUGCAAAUAUCCCUUUUGUUUCCUUUGGUUACAGUUUUGUUUAAAAUAUUUUUGUUAUAAAGAGUGUAACUCCAUUUUUUAAUGUUUAACUGACAUCUUUUAAACCUCCCCUCUCCUUCUUCACCACCUGUCCCACACAUGGACAAACUGAUAAGAAAGCCAAAGUGAUCUUUCCUUUGUGCCUGUGGAACAUCACAGCAGGCAUGGGAACCCUUGUUCUAGUCCCCUUUCCUAGUCACCAUAAAAGCCUUACGCCGAUCUUUUCCUGCUCUCUCAAGCCAUUUUUGGGCCUGCUUGGGAACCACCCUGUUCUCCCCAGAAAGCCUUAUUAUAUGAUUAAUAAAUCUUUUCAUACCUUCUUGGUGUCUGUGUCCACGCUUCAAUCAGAUUUGAAUUGGGGUCCAUCCUGACCCUAUAAUGUGUAUGCAACAAUUUUAUUAAAUAUUGAAUUUAAUGCAUGUGAAGGAAUGUUAAUAUGUUUAAAGUAUAGAAGCAACAAUUUAAAAAAGUUCUAGACCUACCACCCAACCAAGAAACAGAAUAUCACCACUGUAUUUGAAGUGCUUUACCUGAUUUCUUGACUUACCCUGCAUAAACCAGUCCCCUACCUCCACUCAUCACGGCAUUUGAGAUAUUUGAUGAUUUAUCACUCCCCUUAUUUUUAUAUUUUAAGCACAGAUGUAAGUUUUCCUAAAUUAUAUAUUGUUUUAUGUCUUUAUUAACUCAAUAUAGAUGAAAUCAUGUUGUAUAAACUAUUUGGGUACUUUUUCCGGUUAAUGUUUAGAAGUUUUGAUUCAUAGAGCUGCAUGCAUUAAUUUUCUCUAGUGUAUGUCUAUAGUGUGAUUACAAGUGACUUGUGGAUUCUCUUCUUAGUGGACAUUUGGAUUUUCCCCCUUAUCUUUUCCUUAUGUAUAAAAUGCUGUGAACAUUCUUCUACAUAAACUCUGGUGAAAAUGUGCAAAUCUUUUCAGCAGGUGUACCUAGGAGUGGAAUUUCUGCAUCAUACAAUAUCCACAGUUUUAGCUGUGGCUGAUGAUGACAAAUUGAUUUCCAAUUUCAUAUCUAUUUGGUUUUUUUAAAAAUAUAUUUUAUUUUUAAGUAAUCUCUAUACCCAAUGUCGAGGUCGAACUCACAGCCUCAAGAUUAAGAGUUGAAUGCUAUACAGGGGCGCCUGGGUGGCUCAGCCAGUUAAGCAUCCGACUUCAGCUCAGGUCAUGAUCUCACGGUUCGUGGGUUCAAGCCCCGUGUCAGGCUAUGUGCUGAUAGCUCAGAACCUGGAGCCUGCUUCGGAUUCUGUGUCUCCCUCUCUCUCUGCCCCUCCCCUGCUUGCUCUCUGUCUCUGUCUCUCUCUCAAAAAUAAAUAAACAUUAAAAAAAUUGCAUGCUAUACAGACUGCGCCAGCCAGGCUCCAUAUCUAUUUGGAUGAACAAUUUUUUCAGCACCUUUUAUCAAAAGGCUCUUAACCCACUGAUCCAUUUUUAUCACUUCUGACAUAAAUCAAGUUUGCAUAUAUAUGUGGUCUAAGUUCUCUGUUCCCAUUUGUCAGUCUGUUUUUGUCUGUUUCUGUACAGGUACCAUUUGGGCUCAUGAAUAUAGCUUAGUUAUAAGCCUUGAUAUUUAAUACAAGAUUCCUACUUUAUUCUUUUUCCUCAUGAAUGUCCUAACUAUUCUUGGCCCUUUGUUUUUUCAUAGAAAUUUUAGAAACAGUUUAUUGAGCCACCAACCAAGAAAACAAAAUAAACAAAAACCAAAACUAGAUUGAAUUGAAUCUAUAAGUCAAUUUGAAAACUGACUUCUUUGCAAUAUUGGGUGUGUAUAUAUAUAUAUAUACACACACACACACACAUAUAUAUAUAUACAUAUAUAUAUAUAUAUAUAUAUAUAUGUAUAUAUAUAUAUAUAUAUACACACACAUAAACAUAGCACAUCUUCCUGCCGGGUGAAGCCUUUUUCAACGUCCUUCAAGAAGGUAGUACAGUUUUCCUCAGGAAGGGCACACACCUUUUUGGUUAGAUUUAUUCCUAGCUACCUCAUUUUUAUAUACUAUUGUAGAUGUAAUCUUCUCUCUAGAUUAGGCUUUAUCUUUUAAAAGCUGGGUUUUGAUGGCAUAUAUAAAAGAACUUGAGUUGUAUGUCUUGGUUUUGAUUCCAAAUACAGUCACCUCUCAUUCCAGUUAUUUAUCUGUAAAUUAUUUUGAUUUUUCCCCGCAUCUCUGAAUAACACUUCUGAUUCUUCCUUUCCAGUUCUUGUAAUUUUUAACUCUUUUUCUUGCCUUUAACUGGCUAGAACCUCCAGCGCAAUGUUAUAUAGAAAUGUCUUGUUCCUGAUUGUAAAAAGGAAGGUGUCACCAUUAAGGAAGUAUGUAGGCUGUUUGUAGAUGCCCUGCCCUGACUGAUGAUGGUGAUCCUGGGAGUGCUCCUUAGUUGCCUAAAAAUGAAAUAGUUCGGACUUGGGGAUACUGCCUCUUCACCUCAGCAGCAGGGGACAAACCUAAGCCUAACUUCACAUAGGACUGGAGGCUUUCCUUCCUCAAGGUGCCUGAAUCCAGUUUCCUUAAGAUCAUCAGUAGAAAUGAAAACAUAUAACCUUGAUACAAAGACUUGAACAUGUAUAUUCAUAGCAGCAUUUCUCACAGUAGCUGAAAAGUGGAAGGAAUCUAAAUAUCCCUCAACUGGUAAAUGGAUAAACAAAAUAUGGUAGAGUCAUACGAUGGAAUAUAAUUUGGCAAUAAAAAGGAAUGACGUACUGAUGCAUACUACAACGUGGAUGAGCUACAAAAUCAUACUCAGUGAAAAAAGCCAGUCACAAAAGAACACAUAUUGUAUGAAUCCAUUUAUGUUAAAUAUCCAAAAAAGGCAAAUCUAAAGAGAGAGAAAAUAAAUUGGUGGCUCUCUGGUGCUGGGAAUGAUAAUUGGAGAAUGGGUAUAAAUGGACCAUGAGGGUUUUUUUAGGGUAAUGAAAAUGUUCUAAAAUGAGGUUGUGAUGAUGGUUUUGCAACUGGAAAUAUAAUAAAAUUAAUUAUACGUUGAAAAUGAGUGACUUUUAUGGCAUGUGAAUUACAUCUCAGUGAGGCUGCUUAAAAAAACAAACAAUAAAGCAGCUGACAGUAAUCUGACUGACUGGCACCUAAACCUAGACCACUUGGUGUCUAGGUCCUGACCGAUUAUUCUCUGCAUACGAGGCUGCUCUGAUGCUUGCCUGGAAAGAGGAUAGUAAAGGGGCAGGAGAUCAUUGCAAACAGAUCACUGAACAGCUGCCAUCUACCCAGAUUGCAGUGCAGAUACCAGUCUGCCCUGGUCUUGGGCCACCACAGUGCCGACGUGAUGGAUUCAUGAAUGGAGUAGCCAUGGUGGACAGAUGAAGGCUCCUCCUGGGCACAGAAGCAUGGCAUCCCUCAUCAAAGCUGACCUUGCUACUGCUCCCACCCUCCCUGUCAGCCACGGAGAUGGAUGCCGGACCCUUUUAGUGUGCGAAUCUUUGAGGAGUCACUUAGUGAUUACGUGAGACCCUUUCCACCCUGGAGAGGGCAGCAAUUCAUUUUGACUAAGAUUGACAUGUUUUCUAAGUGUGCGUUUACCUUUCCUGCCUGUUACCAACUUGGUCAGCGCCUCUAUUCAGGAACUCACAGAGUAUCUGAUUUACUGACAUGGGAUCUCCCACAUACUGGCACUUCAGAUCAAAGGGCUGGAUUUAUGAAAAAAAGCGGUUCUGCAGUGGGUACAUGUCUUUGUGAUUCACUGAUCCCACUACAUCCCACAUCAUUGCUAAGCUGCUAGCCUGAAAGAGCAAUGGAAUGGCCUCAAAGAAACACAGCCGAAGCAACAGUUUGAAGGUGAUGUCUUACAAAGGUAUUCCUUCAGGAUACAGUAUAUGUAUAUGUUAAAGCAGAGGUUGGCGAACUGGUUCAGAGGCCAAAUCGGGCUUGCUACUGUUUUACAAACAUGAUGUCAUUGGGACACAAGCACGCUCAUCAUUUAUAUAUUGUCUGUGGCUUCUGUUAGGCUACAUCGGCAGAGUUAAGUAGUCAGGUCAGAGACUGUAUGGUCCACAAAGUCUAAAAUAUGUACCGACUGGCACUUUAAAGAAAAGGUUUGCCAUUUUCCCCUUAAAUCAGUGAUGGCUGUAUGGUUCUGUGUUACUGCUGGGAACCAAGGACUGGGAAGGAUCGCUCUGUUCCAGCAACCCACUUGGGAAACUUUUGCUUCCAGUUUCUGAAACUUUAGGGCUCUUCUGUUGAAGAACUAGAGGUCCUGGUUUCUAGAAAGGGAACACUUCCAAUAAGGGAAACAUUAAUAGUUCCACUAAACUUAAGGUGUUGGCUGCCACUGGUCAUUUUAUGCUCAUUGUGCUAGUAGACCAGCAAGAGGAGAAAAGAGUUACCAUACUUGAAGGGGUAAUUGAAUUUGAUAUUCAUGGGAAGGCCAGGUUGCUGCUACAUACUGGUAGCAGGGAAGAUUUAUAUGUAGCACUCAUGUGAGCCACUGGGUAUCUCUUGGUAAUCCAGACCUUGUAAAUUGGCAAGCAGAGCUUAACUGUGUCUCAGACCCUUCAGAUAACAGUACCACACAGGAAGCCACCUAGACCAGCAGAAAUGCAAGCACAGGGUGAGGGGAAUGUAGACUGGCUAGUAAAGAAAGGAAAUCAUCCUUGUCAGUUCUGACCUCAGGACUGACGGCAGCUGUGGAGGCUAUAGUUUAUCCCACUAACUUCUCUUUUAAGUUUUCAUAGAAAUUGUAAUCAACCAGAAUCCUGGAGAAGUUGCCAAAGAAUGGAGUGAACCUAACGUGUAAAGCAAGUGGACCUGAGUGGUUCAAGGGGUGGAGCACAGCAGACAAUGUUGGUGCUGUGUCCAGACGUCCUGAGUGAGUUUGCUUUCGUUGGCUUGGUGUACGCAUUCUCUUCCAGCUGCUCCACGCGACGCUACUAAUGCACUUGCAACAUUUUCAAGAGGCUUGCCUUUGGUAGAUUGGAACAACAUCACCAGGAGGUGUCUGGAAGUUAUGCAUUACUUAUCCCUGUUACAGCCUGCAAACAGUGACUGUCUAAUGCCUGUUAUGGAGAUACAGAAACCUCACUCCCCUGCUAAGGUGGGAAAGACUGUGGUGUGCUGUGUGCAUCAGAGCUCCUGGAGAUGUGGGGCUGAGGCUAGACCCAGCUGAAACCACAGUCUUGCUUUGCUUCUUCCGUUCGCUUCUGCUGCUGCCCCUCCUUCCUUACGGGUUUUCCCUUUUUCUUCUCUUACACAGUUAAAAGUUUGGACCUUAAAAGAUACUGUUGAUAUGCUGAUUGGUCUAAAACAGGCAUGCAGGGGCAUGUGUUUGGCCCCAAAUUUCUUAUGUAAUUAUGUAAUUUCUCUCUUAAUAAAAAUCUUGAUUAUAUCUUUUGUGCCUUGUAAAGUUUGUUCUGUAUUUUUCCCAUAAUGUCUAAGGUUGGAAUGCUUAUUAGUUCGUUACUUUUGAGCCUUUUGUGUUUACUUAGGAACAUACAAUUAUCCAUUUUUCCCAAACUAAGACUUUAGCAGCAUCUCGCAAAUAUUGACUACUU
rnacentral:lncRNA from 1 species